rnacentral:rRNA from 1 species
GACGAACGCUGGCGGCGUGCUUAACACAUGCAAGUCGAACGGAAAGGCCUCUUUCGGGGGGUACUCGAGUGGCGAACGGGUGAGUAACACGUGAGUAACCUGCCCUUGACUUUGGGAUAACUUCAGGAAACUGGGGCUAAUACCGGAUAGGAGCUCCUGCUGCAUGGUGGGGGUUGGAAAGUUUCGGCGGUUGGGGAUGGACUCGCGGCUUAUCAGCUUGUUGGUGGGGUAGUGGCUUACCAAGGCUUUGACGGGUAGCCGGCCUGAGAGGGUGACCGGCGACAUUGGGACUGAGAUACGGCCCAGACUCCUACGGGAGGCAGCAGUGGGGAAUAUUGCACAAUGGGUGGAGGCCUGAUGCAGCAACGCCGUGGGCGGGAUGACGGCCUUCGGGUUGUAAACCGCUUUCGCUCAUGACGAAGCUUUGUGUGACGGUAGUGGGUAAAGAAGCACCGGCUAACUACGUG